UACCAGCACCCCGAGCGGUCGGGACGAUUAUUGGGCCUAAAGCAUCCGUAGCCGGUUCUGCAAGUCCCCCGUUAAAUCCAGCUGCUCAACAGAUGGGCCGCGGAGGAUACUCCAGAGCUAGGAGGCAGGAGAGGCAAGCGGUACUCAGUGGGUAGGGGUAAAAUCCGUUGAUCCAUUGAAGACCACCAGUGGCGAAGGCGGCUUGCCAGAAUGCGCUCGACGGUGAGGGAUGAAAGCUGGGGGAGCAAACCGG
rnacentral:rRNA from 1 species